CUCAGGUGCAGCUGGUCUCGUGUGAUCCGCUCGAGCUGCCGGCCGGAUGAGGAGGAGGCGACCCAGGAAACGAGGAGGGUGGGCUGUCACGACUGCACGUCCUCAUAGAGACAGCCGGUUAUCUGUGAGCAUUUGCAGAUUUAUGUGCCGAACUUGACUUAUGGUUACAGGGCAAAAUAUUAGAUUCACAUGGACACUCUGCGAAGAAUUUUGAAGCUAUGAUUUUUAUUCUUAUUUUUUUUAAAUGGGUUUUUGCAGAAUACAGGCAAGUCAGAAUUUGGAGCGCCUUCAGUUUAAUACCACAUUGUGCCGCAACGGUCUACUGGAAGACAUGCAGCAUAAGUAAAAAGAAAAAAGAAAAAGAGGCUGAGAAGGUCCUCAAUUAAGCUUGAGUAAUAGUCCUUGUUCCUACAGAGCAGAGAAUAUAUGCUUCUGACCCGAGUGACGUCACGGACGCUGUGAUAGUGAGAUUACAAUUUCAGCAUCACGGCACCCUCAUUCUGGUCAAUGAUGACUUCAAUCUUGCUCCUUUCUCUCAUCUACGAACAACUUCACACAACAAGAAGAGUGAGCAGCAAGAGGGAAUAAGACUGGAUCUCUUGUAUGCCAAAUGCAAAGGAAGAGGCCUCUGUGCGCUGUGCAAACGGACGUGUGACCCUAAUCAGGUAAGUCCUCACGACCCGAAAGUGAGGCAGGAGCCAGCUGUGUAAAGGACUUAUCUUAGAAGUUGACCUCUGUUACUCGUCUAUGGGGCUACUGAGUGGAAGCAGGCGCCGUCAAUAGUCACAUUACAAAGUCGAUAUAGGUCAUAGAGGAAGGAGUGAAAAGAAACACACGCCGCUAAAUGAAUUUCAAUGGGUCAAUGUAUGCAUGCAUGAAUCUCAUUUGGAACAAAACAUGAGUCGUUUUAAAACAUUACGUUUUUCGAAGGAUAAUUAUGCUCAGUUUUGACUGACACUGUUAGAGAAGUAUUGAGUCGGUACACCAAGUAUAUAAAAUGAGUCUUCAAAAUCGGGGAAAAUCAAGCCAUUCGCUCUGCUCUCACACUCUGCGGGCGGGUCCGCUGAAUGUGUUAAAACAACACCCUGAUCAACCGUCAAUCGAAUACCACUGCGACAACUUAGUUGCUGAUGUACUUUCAGCCUUUCAUUGAACAGGAUGAUCGGUCAAACACACAAGUGCAAAAUGAGAACACUCACAAAGAGCUGCUGUAGGCCACAACUCACGCCCAGACGCUCACAUGCGGACAAAACCGCCGACCCGAUUGCAGCGCCUGACGUCACUCACUAGGCCACACCCACUACAGCUACACAUCAAUACACAAACACCAUAGUAUGUACAGCAAUUACACUUUGUUAAACCAGUUUAUAUCUUGACAUUAAUUUUUAUUAUGUUUAAAUACAAUAAAGGGCUAUUUUUCUUGACAAAAAAAAAAAAAGUGAAAAAUACAAUAAUGGUGUUGAUUUGAGUUGGCUGGAACGGAUUAAUGGAAUUUCGGUUAAUUAAAACGGGGAAAAUUGGUUUGUUUUAUGAAUAGAUUGAGCUUGGUCAUGGAACUUAAUUCGUCAAGGUACCACUAUUCAGUCAUAUAUAUAUAUAUAUAUAUAUAUAUAUAUAUAUAUAUAUAUAAAGUUGGCACAUUGUGUUAAACAAAUUAAAAAACAAUGAUUUGCAAAUCAUGUUCAACUUAUAUUUAAUUGAGCUUUUUUUGGAAUGUGUUGCAGCCAUACAUUUCUAAGUUAAUGAUUAUUUGCUAAAAACAAUCAAAUGUGUCAGUUUCAACAUUAAAUGUCUCGUCUUUGUCGUGUAUUCAAUUAAAUAUAGGUUGAACAUGAUUUGCAAAUCAUUGUAUUCUGUUUUUAUUUAUGUUUAACACAACGUCCCAAGAUCAUUGGAAUUGCGGUUGUACAUGUAUAUAACACUUGUGACUGUUAAGCCUUUCAAUUUUAUUUAAAACAAACUUUCACAAAUAAAGGUUGCAGAAUAUUUCUAGUAUCUGCAGCAGUGGCUCUCUCUUUUCUGACUCAGUGUUGGGAGCUGAAAUAGCUUUUGCUUCAGUUUCCCUUCACACUGUACAUAUUGACCCAUGCAGAGCGGCAACAUUCAUGGAAAGCGUGGCACAUGUGCGAUCGACCGGCAAGCGGCAGCUGCGUGUGUGCGUUUGUGCGUGCGUGUCAGCGCAUGCACACGUUACCACUGCAUGAGUCGGCUCGCCACCAAGUUUGCAUAGCAAAACGUUAUCCUUUAAGGUCGGCAAUGAAGUUCCCAUUCAUAAAUCAAAUGCAAAGUUAAGCCUUACAAUAACAAU